UGGGGAAUUUUGGACAAUGGGCGAAAGCCUGAUCCAGCAAUGCCGCGUGUGUGAAGAAGGCCUUCGGGUUGUAAAGCACUUUUGUCCGGAAAGAAAUCCUUGGCUCUAAUACAGUCGGGGGAUGACGGUACCGGAAGAAUAAGCACCGGCUAACUACGUGCCAGCAGCCGCGGUAAUACGUAGGGUGCAAGCGUUAAUCGGAAUUACUGGGCGUAAAGCGUGCGCAGGCGGUUUGCUAAGACCGAUGUGAAAUCCCCGGGCUCAACCUGGGAACUGCAUUGGUGACUGGCAGGCUAGAGUAUGGCAGAGGGGGGUAGAAUUCCACGUGUAGCAGUGAAAUGCGUAGAGAUGUGGAGGAAUACCGAUGGCGAAGGCAGCCCCCUGGGCCAAAUACUGACGCUCAUGCACGAAAAGCGUGGGGAGCAAAACAGGAUUAGAUACCCUGGUAGUCCACGCCCUAAAACGAUGUCAACUAGUUGUUGGGGAUUCAUUUCCUUAGUAACGUAGCUAACGCGUGAAGUUGACCGCCUGGGGAGUACGGUCGCAAGAUUAAAACUCAAAUGAAUUGACGGGGUCAUAGCUGUUUCCU
rnacentral:rRNA from 1 species